CUCACAUUCCAGAAAAUUUUUAGCUUAGGAAGAUGUAUUUGCAAACAAUUUUUGUUUAAGGAACUUCCUAAUACUCAUCUGAACAAUAAACUGAGCACUUAAGUCCGAAUAUGAAUUCUAUUAUAUUUUUUAGAAAAACAGAUCAUUCAAGUGGGCUUAUCAACAAUUUAUUCUUAAGGUGCCUUUCAAUACACCUAUGAAUAUGCUACCCUUUGAGCCUUCUACUUCGGGAUGUCUGACCAUGGUGAUGAGCACUCUUGUUGAGAACGGAUUGGUCUGAAGAAUGGCAUCUCAAGAUAAAGACGACAGAAGAAGAGGAAUAAACGAGGCCUCCACUCUGCAAAUUGAGUGUGAGAACGAUUUGGAAACAUGAGUGGCAUAAGAGGAAAUAGAAUUACUUUGUGGGCUCUGUGGAAAUGUCCCAGCUCCCUGCACUGGAGAAAAGAGAAACUACCAUACUGGAAUAGCUUUGUAACACUUAUGAGCUUAUGUGUGAGGAGGGUAUAAUUUCAAAACUAUAAUAUGCAGUACUCUGGGAUAUAAAACUAAAGACCUGUGUUUUAAUUUAUAGGGAUUAAUAGACAUAAAAUUAUCUACAAUUAGCUUAUGCAAAUAUUAUAGGUAAAACAUAACUGAAGUUAUACAGUGUUAUUAUGUUAAGUUCUUGGGAUUCAAUUCAACACUUCAGAAUAAUUUUGAUGAAAGAAAUCAAUUGUAAAACCAGUUUUCUAAAAAAGCAAAUAUAUAUUUCCAUUUAAAAAUUG
rnacentral:lncRNA from 1 species